rfam:Schistocephalus solidus strain NST_G2 genome assembly, scaffold: SSLN_contig0000601
GGCCUCGUAGCUCAGUUGGCUAGAGCGUUGGCUGUACUAAAGCCUUCCCCUAGCUGGCGUGGGUUUGAAUCCCAUCGAGACCG